UACGGAGGGGGCUAGCGUUGUUCGGAAUUACUGGGCGUAAAGCGCACGUAGGCGGACUGUUAAGUCGGGGGUGAAAUCCUGGGGCUUAACCUCAGAAUUGCCUCCGAUACUGGCAGUCUCGAGUGCGGGAGAGGUGAGUGGAAUUCCCAGUGUAGAGGUGAAAUUCGUAGAUAUUGGGAAGAACACCAGUGGCGAAGGCGGCUCACUGGCCCGUAACUGACGCUGAGGUGCGAAAGCGUGGGGAGCAAACAGG
rnacentral:rRNA from 1 species